rnacentral:rRNA from 1 species
GAGCGGGCACUUUCGGGUGUCAGCGGCAGACGGGUGAGUAACACGUGGGAACGUACCCUGUGGUUCGGAAUAACGCUGGGAAACUAGCGCUAAUACCGGAUACGCCCUUUUGGGGAAAGGCUUGCUGCCGAAGGAUCGGCCCGCGUCUGAUUAGCUAGUUGGUGGGGUAAUGGCCUACCAAGGCGACGAUCAGUAGCUGGUCUGAGAGGAUGAUCAGCCACACUGGGACUGAGACACGGCCCAGACUCCUACGGGAGGCAGCAGUGGGGAAUAUUGGACAAUGGGCGGAAGCCUGAUCCAGCCAUGCCGCGUGAGUGAUGAAGGCCUUAGGGUUGUAAAGCUCUUUUGUCCGGGACGAUAAUGACGGUACCGGAAGAAUAAGGCCCCGGCUAACUUCGUG